rnacentral:tRNA from 1 species
UAGCUCAGUGGUAAAGCGCUUGCCUUGCAUGCAUGAGGCCCUGGGUUCAAUUCCUCAG